GACGAACGCUGGCGGCGUGCUUAACACAUGCAGGUCGUACGGUAAGGCCCUUUCGGGGGUACACGAGUGGCGAACGGGUGAGUAACACGUGAGUAACCUGCCCACAACUUUGGGAUAACGCUAGGAAACUGGUGCUAAUACUGGAUAUGUGCUCCUGCUGCAUGGUGGGGGUUGGAAAGCUCCGGCGGUUGUGGAUGGACUCGCGGCCUAUCAGCUUGUUGGUGGGGUAGUGGCCUACCAAGGCGGCGACGGGUAGCCGGCCUGAGAGGGUGACCGGCCACAUUGGGACUGAGAUACGGCCCAGACUCCGACGGGAGGCAGCAGUGGGGAAUAUUGCACAAUGGGCGCAAGCCUGAUGCAGCAACGCCGCGUGCGGGAUGACGGCCUUCGGGUUGUAAACCGCUUUCAGCAGGGACGAAGCUUUUUGUGACGGUACCUGCAGAAGAAGCACCGGCUAACUACGUG
rnacentral:rRNA from 1 species